rnacentral:antisense_RNA from 1 species
AUAAUAAGUAGUUGUUCCUCUUGAGGUAGUCGAAAGAGAGUCAGCAUGAAUACUGAUAAACGCAUCGUAAUGAGAUGAAUUUGCAAUAGCUGUUCUUUCACUCAGUUCGAGAAAAAUAUCCGUUGAACGGGUUAGUGUGACGAUGGCUCCCUUUUUUUCCAACUCAGCUUUUAAAAGCAGCGCUGUUGCGAGAUUCACAUCUUUUUCUCUUAAACCGGUCGGACCAAUUGCUCCUGUAUCUUUUCCACCAUGGCCGGCAUCAACGAUUAUCUUCUUGCCGGCUAAACCAUUCUGAAUAAUUUUAAUCGUCACUUUGUCUGGAUAAUUUCUAAUUGUAAAUGUAUAUCCCGGUUCAAAGGUAAUGACCCCGGACGG